rnacentral:rRNA from 1 species
UACAGAGGGGGCAAGCGUUAUUCGGAAUUAUUGGGCGUAAAGGGCGCGUAGGCGGCCUGGCAAGUGGAAGGUGAAAUCCCUCGGCUUAACCGAGGAACUGCCCUCCAAACUGCUUGGCUUGAGUCCGGGAGAGGUGAGUGGAAUUCCCAGUGUAGCGGUGAAAUGCGUAGAUAUCAGGAGGAACACCAAUGGCGAAGGCAGCACUCUGGGACGUGACUGACGCUGAGACGCGAAAGCGUGGGGAGCAAACAGG